rnacentral:rRNA from 1 species
GCCUGCUAGCCGCAGUACUUUGACUGUGCGAAGGUAGCACAAUCACUUGUCUUUUAAUUGAAGGCUAGAAUGAAUGGUUUGACGAGAAAAUAUCUGUCUUUGAAUUUCAUUUAUGAAUGCAAAAGUUCAUAUAAUCUCAUUGGACGAUCAGACCCUAUGGAGCUUAUUGGUUGGGGCGACAUAUAUUGAUCCUUGUUGAAAGAUUAAAAGACUAAGUUACCCUAGGGAUAACAGCGUUAUUUUCUUGGAGAGUUCAAAUCGAUAAGAAAGUUUGCGACCUCGAUGUUGGAUCGAAGAAUCUAUAAGGUGUAGCCGCUUUAUAAGAGGGUCUGUUCGACCUUUAAAUCUUU